ACACGCAUGACACACUGCAUAUCAAUAAGCGGAGGAAAAGAAACUAACAAGGAUUCCCUUAGUAACGGCGAGUGAAGCGGGAAGAGCUCAAAUUUGAAAUCUUCAAGGUUCUACCUUGACGAAUUGUAGUUUAUAGAAGUGUUUUCUGUUAGUAGAGUGGCAAAAGUUCUUUGGAAUAGGACAUCAUAGAGGGUGAGAAUCCCGUAUUUGGUCAUUCUUUCUAGCUUUGUGAUACACUUUCAACGAGUCGGAUUGUUUGGGAAUGCAGUCCAAAAUGGGUGGUAAAUUUCAUCUAAAGCUAAAUAUUGGCGAGAGACCGAUAGCGAACAAGUACCGUGAGGGAAAGAUGAAAAGAACUUUGAAAAGAGAGUUAAACAGUACGUGAAAUUGUCAAAAGGGAAGCGUUUGACACCAGUGUUGUUUUUCCGAAAAUCAAUUACGAAUGUUUUAUUUUUGAGGAGUUAUGACUUCAUCGGCUUGCUCCUUUCUUUAUGAAACUUUCUUAAUGCACUUUUCGGUUAACAAGUCAACAUCAAUUUCUUUUGUUGUAAAAGGGUAUGAGGAAGGUGGCUUUCUUUUCGGAGAAAGUGUUUAUAGCCUUGUGCCUCUGCAAUCGGAGAGAUUGAGGUCUGCAGCGUAGAUCCUUCGGGGUUAGAUACAUUUGUGCUAAGUUAUAGCUUUUCAUAGACAACUUGUUGACUAUGUUAAGUCUUGUAGCUUACUCGCUUACUGCUAUUUUACCUACGCUUAGGAUGUUGAUCUACAGAGCGAGAGU
rnacentral:rRNA from 1 species